GUUUGAAAUAACAGACUGCAGGAGGAGGCAGGAGGAGGCAGGAGAAGGCAGGAGAAGGCAGCGGUUUGUUGUAGCGUCGCUGUGCAGAGGGAGUCGGUCUGUUCCCGUAUGACAGAAGACACACAAGUUUUUAUACUUCUCCCACAAGCCGGCCUUCUGCUCUGAGGGACUGAGUGAGGAGAAGUUCUCUGGGUUUCAUGUGCUCCUGUUGCUUCAUCUCUGUCUCCUCCUACAAGAAGAUGAUCGACAGAAUCCUGCUGCUCAUCAUCCUCCUGUCCUGUGUCUGUGGAUCGCUGAUCGUGACAGUGUCACAGAGCUUCUAUCAGGCAGAGGAGAAGGGCAACAUCACUCUGGAGUGGAACUUCACCACCAGAACGAACAGCUCGCUCAGUCUGCUUUUUGUCUUCUGCGACCUGAUAGCUGAUCAGGAGCUCUCGGUCCUGUAUCGUGUGCAGGAUGGCGUUGAGGUCUCAGAGCUUCAAGAUAAACGGUUUGGAGGGCGAGUCCGGAGCGACAGCGAUGCCCUCAGAGAAGGACGAAUCGCGCUUCAGCUGUCCGGCCUGACGACUCACGACUCAGGUCUAUAUGUGUGCAAAGUGAGCACGGAUCACGGCUACGGCUCUGACAGCUGCCGGCUCAACGUCACCGCAGCAGGGGACCUGACCGAACCUGAGACGUCGCACGCAGGACGGGUCGGCAUCUUCGUGGGAAUAGCGCUGAUGGGAACGACAGUGCUGGUUCUGUUCUGCUAUCUGUUCAUUCACUCUCUGCCUAAAGAGCAGGAUUACGACUCAGAGUCCAGUUACGAAGCUGAGAAAACUUUCAGUGCGUCAGACGGAUCGCUUUAAAAUGAGUCCGUUUGCUUUCUCAGUGCAUGGAGGGUGUGUGCACGGGCAUGCUCAUGGCUGCCCCGGUGCCACGAGCCAUUUCCCAAGACUAACCGGCUCACUGCUCAUUAGCUCGUGAAACAAACAACAGAUAAAAACUAUUUCGGUUCAAACUAAUUCAGCUGUGAUGAAAACCUCCCUGCAGAGGAGAAAGGAAAGGGAGACAUUUUAGGAAACUUCACAUUGAGCCGACGUCAUCAGUGUAUUUCUGGGAAUUGAAUGUGAAAGUUUACAGUCACAAAUUAUGAUUAAGGCUGAUUCUGAUGCUUCCUCACUUAGUUUGGCGGCCCCACACUUGAUGAGAGAGAGGGCUGCUAAAUAAAAAGAAGAAGAAGAAGAAGAAGAAGAAAGAACCUUCAGCCUUUAUUUCUGACGCUGAUUUGCCAGAUUUUAAACCGUCCUCACCCAGUCCCCCCAUUUGGUACCAGCACUAGGAGUACACUGGUUUGUGUCUCCUUCAUGUGGAAAGUGAAUCUGCAGCUGGUCCAUAAAGCUGCAGAAAGAAGGUUAUUAAUAAAGCAAAACUAAGAGUCGCAGUUUGUAGAUGGUCUUUCUCGCUCGUCUCACAGCAGAAUGCAUGAAAAUAGCAGCAACUUCAAUGAAGACAGGAAAAAGUGUGAAAACGUGCAGCUCAGUGCUUCCUCAUAUGCAAUAUAAGAAAAGCUGUUUAUAAACACAAGCAAAAAUAGAACAUGUGAAACAGGUUUAGUGGAAAAUGAUUAGCAGAGGUAGAAAUGGACGGACACACUCAGAGUAGCAACACUGGCUCUCAGUGUGUUGGCGUUAGAAGCUUUCAGCUCUCAUUUAUUGUGCUGGAAUAACUCACACAGGUCAGGUCAGUAGCAGUGUGCUCAUUUCACCUGCAGAUGGCAAUGCUUACAUUACAUGUGGAGCUCAUAAUGUGACUCUUAUCAUUUUUUGUCAUUUUCAUAACCUUUAAUAGCGUGCUUCUCAGCCAGGUCUCCCUUUAAUAUGAAAUUUACAUUUCAUGAAACUAAAAAGAAACAAUGAAUAAAAAAGAGAGUUAUUCUGACUGAGCUGAAACUGUUAGUGAAACAACGUCUAAAAAUGUUUUGCAUGAGCAGUGAUGGAGGACGAUGUAGACCUGUGAGGGAGGUUAAUCCAGAUUCAUGUUUAUGGUCGGAGGAACAUAGAGGAGAUUUCUUAGCCUUGUAGAUCCAUAAAAGAGAUUAAUUUAUCACUGGAUCUAUAAAUUCAUUCAAAAUCCACAGAUUUUGACUGUAUCAAAUGCUUCAAAUGACAGAUUCCAAGAUAAUUUCAAUAUAAUUCGCUUCGCUGCCUUAUAAAACGUCAUUAUCCUCACAGCUCUCACAAUGAUUACAGAGACUCUGCUCUGCCUUACUGCUGCCAAAAACACAGUACAGGUUCAGACGUGUGUGUGUGUGUGUACAUGUUUAGACAUCUUUGUGAGGACAGAAAAUUUGGCAUGCCACUAUACUCGUGGGGACCAACAGUUACUCCCCACGAGUUUGAAGACAUGUUUGAGGCUCAAAAUGUGGUUUUAGUGUCAGGGUCACAGUUAGGUUAUGGUUAGGUUUAGGCUCAGGGUUAGUUCAUAUUUGAUGGUUAGGUUAAGCUGCAAGAGAAAACAUUAUUUCAAUUAGAUGUCCUUACUAUGAUAUGAAAACGAGUGUGUGUGUGUGUGUGUGUGUGUGUGUGUGUGUGUGCCUUGCCUAUAUCGUAACUUCCAGUCAUCAACUGCAAUGCUGAAAGUAUAAAAGGCCAAAGAGUUCUUUCACAAACAAUAAACUUGAUUUUUUAAAUUGUC
ensembl:lncRNA